rnacentral:lncRNA from 1 species
GUGACGUUCCCUACGCGGUCGGGCGUUGGGUUUCGCGGCGCUCGCCGCACUGGUUGUUCAGCACCUUCGGUCCGGUUGAGGUUGUCAAGUCGGACCAAACAGGUUGUUUCUCUGCAGUUUCCAACAUGGCAGGGAGGUUUAAUAGACAUGGAUAAGAAGUCCACUCACAGAAAUCCUGAAGAUGCCAGGGCUGGCAAAUAUGAAGGUAAACACAAACGAAAGAAAAGAAGAAAGCAAAACCAAAACCAGCACCGAUCCCGACAUAGAUCAGUGACGUCUUUUUCUUCAGAUGAUCCUAUGUUUCCUUCUUCCUCAUCAUCGUCUUCAGGAAGCCAGACAGAUUCAAGUAUUGAAGAUGCUGCCAAGGGAAAAAUUAAGAAGAAGAGAAGAGAGAAAACAAAUAAAUGGGAAAAAAGAAAGAGUCUUGUCCUGUUGCUCAGGCUGGAGUGCAAUGAUGCGACCUCGGCUCACUGCAACCUCUGCCUCCCGGAUUCAAGCAAUUCUCCUGCCACAGCCUCCUAAGUAGCUAGGACUACACGCAUGCACCACCACACCUGGCUAAUUUUUGUAUUUUUAGUAGGGACGGGGUUUCACCUGGUUGGCCAGGCUGGUCUCGAACUCCUGACCUCAUGUGAUCCGUCCACUUCAGCGUCCCAAAGUGCUGGGAUUACAGGCAUGAGCCACCGUGCCCUGCCUCUUUUAGUUAUUUUUAAAUGUACAAUAAAUUGUUGUUGACUGUAAUCACCCUGUUGUGCUAUAAAAUACGAAAUCUUAUACAUUCUAGCUAUAUUUUUAUACUCAUUAAUCAUCCUCCUUUCCCCACCUUCAACUACCCUUCUAAGCCUCUGGUAACGAUCGUUCUGGUAUCACCAUGAGUUUAUUUGUUUUCAUUUUUAGCUCCCACAAAUAGGUGACAACAUGUGAAUUUUGUCUUUCUGUGCCUGGCUUUUGUCACUUAACAAUGACCUCCAUUUCCAUCCCUUGUUGCAAGUGACAGCAUCUCAUUUUUUUUUUUUUUUUGGCUGAAUAGUGCUCCGUUGUGUAUUUGUACCACAUUCAUCUGUUGAUGGACGUUUAGAUUGCUUCCAGAUCUUGGCUAUUGUUGCUGAAUUCUUUUUCUCAGCAUGGAACGUCCCUGAGAAAGAGAAUGCACGCCUAGGGGUAGGUCUCUGAACUGGCCCCCCCGGGGCGUACCUGUCUCUUAUGGUUGAGACUGCAGGGACGAAAUAAACUCCAGUCUCCCAUAGCGCUCCCAGGCUUAUUAGGAAGAGGAAAUUCCCACCUAAUAAAUUUUGGUCACACCGGUUGAUCUCAAAACCCUGUCUCCUGAUAAGAUGUUAUCAAUGACAGUGGUGCCCAAAACUUCAUUAGCAAUUUUAAUUUCGCCUCGGUCCUGUGGUCCUGUGAUCUCGCCCUGCCUCCACUUGCCUUGUGAUAUUCUAUUACCCUGUUAAGUACUUGAUGUCUGUCACCCACACCUAUUCGUAUACUCCCUCCCCUUUUGAAACUCCCUAAUAAAAACUUGCUGGUUAUUGUGGCUUGUGGGGCAUCAUGGAUCCUAACAACGUGUGAUGUCUCCCCCGGACGCCCAGCUUUAAAAUUUCUCUUUUGUACUCUGUCCCUUUAUUUCUCAAGCCAGCCGACGCUUAGGAAAAUAGAAAAGAACCUACAUGAUUAUCGGGGCAGGUCCCCCGAUAUCUGGCGCCCACGUGGUCUUUCUUUUUUCCUAAGUGCAUGAGGGAACCCGAUUCCCUUUGGUAGGUGCGGUGAAACAUCAAUCGGCUUGGUCCACAGAUAAGCGUGUUCAACUCCCCGACGAGUGGACAAAAUAUGAAACACCAAGAAAAAGAGAAGGAAAAAAAGGAGGAAACAACCACAUAUGUCACCUUUCCAAGAGGGACUGAAACUGGGCUGACCCUUUUGAUUUCCAAGCUCAGCGUUUUGGUGUAAGGCGGCCAAAGAAGGAUGCGGAGCCCAGCACUGUGAAGCCUACAAAAACAUUGAUGCGCUGGCUUGGGGAUUUGAAUUUGAACAUCUUUCACACUAAGUUCAGACUCAUGAAACCAAUCUUCAGAUGCUCUGUAAACCACAUAAUAAAGAGUUUGGAAAUUAUAUUUUGUUUUUGAAGGCCCACGUGCAAAACUUGAGAGCCUCAAGUCCAAGCCAGUUGUGGCAAUUCUAGCCUACUUUUUUUUUAUAUUCAAGUGUGUUGUAGGGAAGGAGGAGAAUAAGUCUGCUUUCUUGAAUAUUAUGCCUAAUUAAUUACGUAUAAAAUACUUUUACCAAAGUUCUAUGCAAGGUAGAAGACUUACAGAUGGCAUGAAAAAGAUAAAGUCUUUUCCAUGUUUUUUUUUUUUUUUUUUUUUUUUUUUGAGACAGAGUUUCACUCUGGUCGCCCAGGCUGGAGUGCAGUGGGCCAGUGUCGCCUCACGGCAACCUCCGCCUCCCAGGUUCAAGUGCUUCUCCUGCCUCAGCCUCCUGAGUAUCUGGGACUACAGGUCCAUGCCACCACACCCAGCUGAUUUUGUAUUUCUAGUAGAGACAUGGUUUCGCUAUUUUGUCCAGGCUGCUCUCGAACUCCUGACCUCAGGUUAUCUGUUCCCCACGGCAUCCCAAAGUGCUGGGAUUACAGGCGUGAACUACCGUGCUUGGCCUCUGUGUACUUCUUUUUUGUUGUUAUUGUUUUUGAGAUGGAGUUUCACUCUUGUCAUACAGGCUGGAGUGCAGUGGCGCCAUCUCAGCUCACUGCAACCUCUGUCUCCUGGGUUCAAGCGAUUCUCAUGCCUCAGCCUCCCAAGUAGCUGGGAUUACAGGUGUGCACCACCACGCCCAGCUAAUUUUUGUAUUUUUAGUAAAGACAGGGUUUCACCAUGUUGGCCAGGCUGGUCUCGAACUCCUAACCUCAGGUGAUCUACCCACUUCAGUCUCCCAAAGCGCUGGGAUUACAGGUGUGAGCCACCGUACCUGGCCCAUGUACUUCUUACUUAGUUUUUCUUCCCGCGUCUUAUGUUUACAUUUGCAAUUAUGUCUUCUUCUUUCAACAAAUAUUACAGGUUUUCAUAAUCUCAAAUAUUUGUUUUUAGAGCAUGAUGUAAUGUUCCUUUGCAUUAGGUACACUGAUUGUGGGUUUCCAACAAAAAGUUUUCAGGUCUAAAAAUGAUCACAUCAUGCAGUAUACCCAGGAAUCAAACCUGCACAUCUAUCCCCUAAGUCUAAAAAUGAAAGUUGAAAAAAAUAAAAAUUAUAUAAGAAAAAAAUUAUCACAGUGUUUUAUAAAAUAAGAAAGCAGACCACGCGUGGUGACUGAGGCUUGUAAUCCCAGCACUUUAGGAGGCCAAGGCAGGCGGAUUGCUUUAGCUCAGGAGUUUGAGGCCAGCCUGGCCGAAAUGGUGAAACUCUGUCUCUACAAACACACACACACACACACGGUGAAACUCUGUCUCUACAAACACACACACACACACACACACACACACACAAAUUUAGCCAGGCAUGGUGGCACAUGCCUGUAGUCCCAGCUACUCGGGAGGCUGAGGUGGGAGGAUUGCUUGAGCUUGGGAGGCAGAGGCUGCGGUGAGCGAAGAUCACACCACUGCACUCCAGCCUGGGCGCCAGAGCAAGACUCUGUCUACAAAAAACAACAAACAGAAACAGCAAUUUGCCAGGUAAGCCUUUUAUGUUGCCUUUGAUAGUUUUAUAGAUCCUUGGGAUUUUUGCUCACUUAGGUUUAUGAUUGAAUGUGUAUCCCAUCUAACUGUGUACUUGAUAUUUGCUUUUAAAACAAACUCCUGUUAGAAGUAAAUGUUGAAAGAGAGGGCUAGGUUGUUUUUUUUAUAUUCAUUCAGUCAUUGAUUCAUUUAUUUAUUUAUUCAGGGUCUUGGCUGUGUUACCUAGGCUGGAGUGUGAGAGUAUGAUCAUGGCUCACUGCAGCCUAGACCUCUUGGAUUCAAAUGAUGCUCCCACUUCAGCCUCCCAAGUAGCUGGGACCACAGGUGCACACCACCAUGUCCAGCUAAUUUUUAGAUUUUUUUGUAGAGACAUGGUCUUUCUGUGUUGCCCCGGCUGGUCUCGUACUCCUGGCUUCAAGCAAUGGCCCCACCUUGGCCUCCCAAAAUGAAGAUUACAAGUGUGAGCCACUGUGCCUAAUUGAUUUUUUUAUUGGAAAUUUUGAUACUGUUACGUUGUCACUGAGGCAGACAACUUAAAAAUAAUCUUGAGUAUCAUUCUGUGCCGAUGUUAGAAUUUAAUAUGCUGUUCGUAGGCCAGGCUCAGUAGCUCACGCCUGUAAUCUCAGCACUUUGGGACGCCAAAAGCAGGAGGAUCUCUUGAGCCCCCAGGAGUUUGAGACAAGCCUGGGCAGCAUAAAGAGACCCCCAUCUCUAAAAAAAAAAAAAUAGAAAAAUUAGCCAGACAUGAUGAUGCCAACCUGUAGUCCUGGCUACUUGGGAAGCUGAGGUAGGAGGAUCGCUUGAGCCCAGGAAUUUGAGGCUGCAGUGAACUAUGAUUACACCACUGUACUCCAGCCAGGGUGACAGAGCAAGACCCUAUCUCUAAAACUAUUUUUAAAAAUAAAACAAUAUGUUGUUCAUAUUAUCCUAAUGUAGUGUUUUACUGAAUAGAAUUCCUUAAAGGAUUCUUUUCCCCAAGGAUAUUAACUCAAGAUAAAUUAAGCAUCUUUAUCUUUGAUUACAGAGAUAUUUAGCAUAUGACUAUAGAUAAUUUCCCCUUCAUAUUUUCUUGGGCUUCUAGUAUUUAUGUAUCAAGAAAAUUAUUUCCUUAUGUUUGAAAUGGUGACAUUUCUGAAAUGUACCAGCAGAGGAUACAGGGAUUUUUGUUUGUUUUUCAUUUUCUUAUUUACUGAAGAAAUAAAGGCAUUUUAGUUUAUAAAUGGACUGUUUCUUUUUUCCAGGAAAACUAAUAUUCAUAAUUAUGGGAAAACCGUGGUCUCUUCAAAAGGGCAUAAUAAAAUGUAGAUAUUAGACAUUAUUUCAAAUCGUUUUUUGUUAUUUGUAGAUUAAUUAAAACAGUAACCAUACCUCUGGAAGACAGAAU